rnacentral:rRNA from 1 species
GAUGAACGCUGGCGGCGUGCCUAAUACAUGCAAGUCGAGCGAACAGACGAGGAGCUUGCUCCUCUGACGUUAGCGGCGGACGGGUGAGUAACACGUGGAUAACCCACCUAUAAGACUGGGAUAACUUCGGGAAACCGGAGCUAAUACCGGAUAAUAUAUUGAACCGCAUUGUUGAAUAGUGAAAGACGGUGUUUCUGUCACGUAUAGAUGGAUCCGCGCCUGAUUAGCUAGUUGGUAAGGUAACGGGUUAUCAAGGGGACGAGGCGUAGCCGAAGUGAGGGGGUGAUCGCCCACACUGGAAGUGAGACACGCUCCAGGCUCCUACGGGAGGCAGCAGUAGGGAAUCUUCCGCAAUGGGCGAAAGCCUGACGGAGCAACGCGGCGUGAGUGAUGAAGGUCUUCGGAUCGUAAAACUCUGUUAUUAGGGAAGAACCAAUGUGUAAGUAAAUAUGCACGUCCUGACGGUACCUAAUAAGAAAGCAACGGCUAACUACGUG